ACAUUUAAAUUGUUAUCUUUGUAAUCCAUGAAAAUAAUGUUGAUGUAAACUUUAUUGCACUUUUCGAAAAAUAUGAGUUACAGAAUUGUGUCACAAGAAAUGCAAAUGUAAUCUGUGACCAAAAGGUAUAUAUACCACUCAUAUAUAUAAUUACUGUUUGCGACGCCAUAAGUAUCACGUUACGGUAUUAGCAACCGCGCUUAAUUCGAGGCACUUAGGUGACGUUGAAAUUAUUUUGGUAAAACCGACAAUCACACGAGCUUCUUCUCGGCACAUAAAUCGCUCGUGCAAUUACCGUUCCAUUCGCGAAACGAAAAUUACAUUGUGCUAUAUGACUGUGCCAAAUUUCAUUAUAAUCUGAACGUAAUAUCCAUUUCAGUUUUUAUUAACCCUUAGGGUCCAACCAUGGUAUUCCGGAUCCGACUAGAUUUCUAUUUAUGGAAAUUUCUCGGAAUUCCAAAAAUACUCAUUUGAAAUUGAUUUCAAAUUAUUCAAAUUUCAGAGAUAUUUACAAAACUUUCGAGCAAGAUGAUUUGGGAAGAUGCCACACUUUAGGACUUUUUGUUGAAAUAGUUUUAUUAUAGCAUCAAGUUACAAAAAAAUUAACAUUUUUGUGAUCUUUAUUUAUUCAUGCAAAUAAAAUAAUUACAUUUUUAAUAUUCCAAAUUUUUUAGGAAAAAAAAUUAAAUCUUGCAAAACUGGUAUUUUCCCCAAACGUAUAUACAUAUGGGUAAGAUGUUACCUGCUAUGAAAAAAGAUGUCACAACCAUUUAAAUAACAUGAAAUAAUAGAAACUUGCAUUCUUUGCUUAUGUAUAGUAGACAGUCAAGUUUAAAUUAUAAAAACAUAAAAAUGUGAUAAAAUAUUAAUUGGUUUUUGGGAAGCAACUUAUUUCUUAUUUUUAUAAUGCUAGAGUUUAGCCUUUUAAAUUUAACGUUAUCAAAUCAAAUACUAUUAAAAGCAUAUUUAACAAUUUACCUUUUUAUAUUCUUACAAAUCUUUACUGAUCCUUAUUAAUAUUGGAAUUUGUCUUUAUAAUCAGUGCUUUUCGUAUGUAAGUCUAGCACACAUUUAUACGUCAGAUUAGUUAAUUUCCGAUUUAUGAAGAAAUUAUAAUCAAAGUGGCUUCUUCCCUUGACUUCUCUUAUCUUUGAUUUAUAUUUAUAAAUAUGAAUUGUUAGCAAUUGCUCAUGAUAUGUGAUCUAUUUUUUAAAUUAAGGUAUAUCUGCUAAUAAGUUAUCUUGUUUGUUGUUACAGGGGCUUCGGAAAACAGGGAUAUCAGUGCCAAGUCUGUAGUUUCGUCGUUCACAAACGAUGUCACGAAUACGUGACCUUUACGUGUCCGGGAGCUGACAAAGGCGCAGACUCGGACGUGAGUACUGAAAUUAUAUUUAAUGCCAAAUAUGUCUCUCUUCUCUUCAUACCCUUCUUAAUGCGCAGAUUAUCUCACCUUUUCUUCCUUUUGUCUUCAGCCAAGGUUUUUCUCUCACAAGUUUUUGAUGAGUAUGAGCUUCCGCGACCUAGAUCUCACAUAUGAACGAUUUGUCUAAAACUUUAAUCUUGAUAAAUUUCAUGAGUGUAAGAUGCGCUAUAUGGAAUUUAAUAAUAAUGUUAAUUGCAUUAUAAUUGUAUUAUUUAUUAAAUAUUCUAUAUUUUUUAAAAUUUUCAUUUGCGUUACUAACUUUACGUGUUUUAGAAAAUUGAAAAACUUUACUCUUAUAUACAUAUAAAACAUGUUUAGUAUAAGUAAAAAAUUUGGAUAAAAUUUUAUUUUUUUAAUAAUAGCAAAGAGCUUUCAGCUAUAUCUUUUUUAAAACUUUUGAAAUUUUUGAAUUUUUGAACGCAAUGUUAAUUUGUCUCCUUUAAACGCUGUUUUGGUUAAGUUUUUUGUUACUUUUGCACUAAUAAUGGUCCGAGGACGGGUCAAAACAUUAGAAGUAUAACAAAAGUCUCUUUAUACCAGAAAUAGGUCACUGAGAGUGGCUUGAGGGCUGGUCAAGCUGGCUAGGAGAGUCAAAUAACUGUUUGACAUGUUAGCUUUUAAAGCCCCAUGCUUCGAGUAGGCACGUAACUCAUCAUCAUAGCUCUUUGAUACUUAAAAAGUCAAACUUCGUAAAAAAAGAAAAAUUUCACCAAUGUAUCAAAUAUCAUUAUGCCAUUUUAAUAAAAAGACAUUAUUUUUAUAAUAAAGACAUUUUUAGUCUGUGAUAGAUAAUGAUGUAGGAUAUUUUUUGCGUAAGUUAUAGGUCACAAAUUUGUCUUUUACAAAUGACAGAAAAUCGCAACGACGCUUUGUGAAAAUUAAUAUCUGUAUAAAAUCUAUGAUAAUUUAAGUCUAAAACCAAGUCGUUUAUCAUCAUUUUCGUAAUGUCAUGAGAAAUAUGGCUGAAACGAGAUUAUUUGAUUAUACUGCCGUGAUAAUAAAAACUUGAUAAAAUUACUAAUUUUUCUUGAGAAUUAAUAUGGAACUUUGUGACAAAAUUAUGAUAAAAUAUAAUUUGUUAUAAAAUUCAUCAAAAUACAAACGAUAAACUAUCGGUAGGAGAGUUACGUUUAUAAGAAAAA